UGGGGAAUAUUGCGCAAUGGGCGAAAGCCUGACGCAGCGACGCCGCGUGUGGGAUGAAGGUCUUCGGAUUGUAAACCACUGUCGGGAGGGACGAGUGCGCCGCAAGGCGAGUGACGGUACCUCCAAAGGAAGCACCGGCUAACUCUGUGCCAGCAGCCGCGGUAAUACAGAGGGUGCGAGCGUUGUCCGGAAUCACUGGGCGUAAAGGGCGCGUAGGCGGCUUGCUAAGUAGGGGGUGAAAUCUUGCGGCUCAACUGCAAGGCUGCCUCCUAAACUGACAGGCUUGAGCACAGUAGAGGCAGGUGGAAUUCCCGGUGUAGCGGUGGAAUGCGUAGAGAUCGGGAAGAACAUCGGUGGCGAAGGCGGCCUGCUGGGCUGUUGCUGACGCUGAGGCGCGACAGCGUGGAGAGCAAACAGGAUUAGAUACCCUGGUAGUCCACGCCGUAAACGAUGGGUACUAGGCGUC
rnacentral:rRNA from 1 species